GGCCUAAGAACGCGGAAAAAAAUGCAACUGGAAAUAUGUCUUAUAUGUAAUAUGUUUCUGAUGCAGGUUGAGGGCAUGGAAUUGAAUUUGAAAACAAAAGGAGAUUUAUUAACUCUAGAUAUUGUUACCAAACAAAACCUAGCAGGUCAACUUAUAACCAGCAUCUAAAACCAACGCUUCAUUUCUCCAAAUUGCAGGGGUUGACAAGAUACGUAAUCCAACAGGCGGAGGGUUAGCUAAUUAUGAGCUGUUUGUUUGACUCUGUAAGUUGAGGUGUGUGACUGAGGUGUGCAGCAGAUUUUGUAGUUCUAAAUAUUGCUCAAAGCCUAGACAUGAUGUGAAAAAUGAAAAUAAUUCCUAUAGUAUCUCAGCUAAUGCUACUUAAAUUAUUUUCACAUUGUCUUCAAAUGGUUAUCUCUUAUCAUCUCACAAGAAAAAACUAACACUAUGACUAUUACAUUUUUAUGUUUGAUCUAGAUCAUCAAAUGUGUUCCAGUUUGUUAUGCCUUCCAUUUUGCUAAUUUACCGGAGAUUAUAAGACCUUGAUGUAUUUACCGGAAUGUAUUUGCAGAUGCUGCUUUUAAGGAUAACUCUCUGUCUACUACUUCUUAACUUUCAGGGUUGCAGCAGCUUGGAGGAAAUAGAGUCUUCAUCCACAUAUAUGCAGGGGCAGUCCCAAGAUAUUUACAUUGCCUCAACCUGAACUGCUUCUUUUGUAAUUCACGCUGAAGCUGAAGCUUUGGAGCUACGUGAUUUUCAGUUCCCGCAAACUGGUUUUGUUGGUGUUUUUUAACAGGAAAAGCCACUUGGGGAUAUCUCAUUUUUUAUACAACUGCAGAAUUUUUUUAGAUUGUGUUCUCUCCUUUGUUUCAAUGAUCAGGCUGUGUCCUCUUAUAAUGGAAGAUUACCCAUUUGCGUAGCUCUUAUAUUUAUUGCUGGAGAAUUAGCCGGAGCAGGAAAUAAAUUAGCUGCAGUUGCACGUCGAGCCUCCUACCAGCGCAUAAAUGUUUGGGAUGAAUCCAACUUCAUCCAAACAGAAUAGCACAAUUACAAGGUGGUCUUAACAGACAUGAUGGAUUAUGAUAAUUUAUACGGCCCAGAGUAAUGCUGGAGUUCAUUAUUUCCAAAGACCUCAUGGAGAAAAGUUUUUUUAACUUGAUGGCAAAGAUGAUCUGACCAUCUUAGAUCUCUGAACUCUUGCUGAUGGACAUGUUCUAAGCAAUGUUGGGAUCUGUAAAGCUCUGAAUUUUGAUGCAUAUUCGGUAAAAAAAAGGUACUCAUAAGGACCAGGAGAGUUAAGUUAAUACACAACUUGCAGAAUGUGACUUUUUUAAUUGUUGCGGACAUAUUAGCCUAGACUAGACGUCUGCAUACACUGGGAAACAUUUCAGCUAUUUGACCAGAAAGAGUUAACUUGUGCAAGUAGGUAAAUAUUCUUCUUCGAGUAGGACAUGUUUCUUCAUCGUUAUUAUGAGAUGGUUUAUGCCAUGAUAUCAUUUUUCCUAUUAGAUAUAGUUUUUCAUUAUUUGUUUGUGAGAAAAUCCAAGCAACCAUAAUCAACUGUGAGCCUUGUGUUAAAGAACAUAAUAUUACAGUUGUAUAUGUGUCAACUUCUCAUUUUAAAGGUCAAUUUUUGUUCUUACAUGGUUGUUCGUUUCAUAUGAACAGGCUUCCCUCUUGUAAUGUCAAGACUGAAUAGCUACUACUGCAUUCGUUCAUGAUGAAGCAUUAAAGGUAAGCAGGUCAGGUAUGCAUCGGAUUUUGGGUUAAUUUCUGUUAGAGUGUUAUAUACAUCUGUAUACAUUGGAAACCAUUUCAGCUAUGUGUCCAGAAAGGGUUGACUAUGUAUUGUAGCCAAGUAUUCUUCUUCGACUAGGGCAUAUUUCCUUCAUAACUAUUGUGAUAUGGGCUUAUAUCCUGGUAUCAUUUGUCCUUUCAGAUUCCGUUUAUGGCAUCAACCACCCCUCAUGUGUAUAUACUUUGGUCAUACGUGUCUUCACCCAUAGAUUAUGCCUAAAUUUGGCAUGACUUGAAUUCUGUACCAGGGUUGAACCAAGGAAAAUAGGUGGUGAUGGGAAAAUGGGAAUCAAGAGGCCAGCCAGGCUUCAUGUUCAUAUACGGCCACCAUGAAUUUAAGUAAUAGAAGAUUGUUAAUAUUUGGCAUACCUCCAAUGUUGUGCGGUACAAGGAACUCUAUCCUUCAAUUACCAGACUACGUAUACCGGUAAAUAGGACAUAUCACGUUCCAGCAAAUCCCAUUUACAAUCUUAAUGGAUUAGGAUUAUUCUUGUUGAUAAGUACUAACAAAUGAAUAAUAUCUGAGUACAUGAGUUAUUUGAGCGGCUGUUCUUGUCAAUUCACAAUUUAUGGAGUUCCUCUUCAUUUUC